rnacentral:lncRNA from 12 species
AUGGUUGGCCGGGACCGAGCUCUCCCAUUGCCCCUGCGGACUCACUCACGUGGGGCCGCGCUGCCAGCGGAGGGGGGGGGCGGGGUGGAGGGGGAGUUCUGCAGUCCCGGAGCCUUGACACCUGCUGGGUGGCUCUGGCAGCCGGGACCCGGCGGAGCGAGCCUGCGGAAACCCGGCGGGAGCGCGAGCCGCGUCCUGAGCAUGCAAGCCGUUCUCCUGCCGGAGCCCCUCGCAGCCCCCGAGGCUGCCACUCCGCUUUCGCGCGAGGCUCCAUCCCAGCCAAGUCCCUCGCCACAACCGAGAUCCUGUGGGCCCGCUUCUGUCCGGUCGCCUUCCCAAGCCCGCUGCCGUCGGUCUGUCCGUCCCUGUCUCGGAGCUGGAGGACGGCCUGCGCUGGGAGCCUGGCGAAGGGCCAGCCGCGCCUCUCGCCCUCCGAGGGCUUGCUUCGCGCUCUCCCUGCGGCCCUGCUCUCCCUGCCCGAGUCCCUCCUCCCGGACCCUCUUGCUCGCCCUUACCGGCCCUCCCCGCUUGAGAUCGGCGGGCUCCUUCGGCCACCGAGGCCCGCGAGGCGGGAGGCGCUGGGGAUCCCGGGGCUUUCCGGGUGCGCGGCCCUCGAGGGCCGACGGGUCCCCAGCUCCACCCGCGGGCGGCUCCCGGGUCCGAGGAGCUAAGAGAAGAUCUAUUAAUUUCUCCGUGCAGAAAUCGAUGCUCUUGUCAGGGCGGCGAUCGAUGCCAGCCCAGCCCGGCGGGACCCCACCCGGCCCGGGCCCGGCGCUGGCCGGCUGGGGUCAGGGCGGGUCGCUGGGGCCGGGGACGCCUCUCGGUGGGGUUGCAGACCGCGCCCCCCCGCCCUGGAGCUCGCACCUCUGCGCGCGGGCCUCCAGCGCCACCCUGUGGUCUCUCCCGAAAGCGGGCGUCCGGCUCCCUAGGCUCCCUUCCCGGGCUGUUUCGGGGCGACACAUUACCUCGGCUGUGCCUUCUUUCCCCAGAUCCUGCGUUCGGUCCUUUUGGGAUCCCUUGCCCUUUCUUCCUACGGUUAGAGAGUGUUGCACCUCAUUUACCCCAAGUGACAUCGUACACUGCCCCCGGGGCGCGCACCGUGAGGAGGGAGAUCUGAGGGCGGGGGUGGGGGAUGGGGGGCGGUGGACGAUGGUGGGGGACCCGGGCUGGCUGGGACGACCCCGACGGUAA